GCGUAAAGAGCUCGUAGGCGGUUUGUCGCGUCUGUCGUGAAAGUCCGGGGCUUAACCCCGGAUCUGCGGUGGGUACGGGCAGACUAGAGUGCAGUAGGGGAGACUGGAAUUCCUGGUGUAGCGGUGGAAUGCGCAGAUAUCAGGAGGAACACCGAUGGCGAAGGCAGGUCUCUGGGCUGUAACUGACGCUGAGGAGCGAAAGCAUGGGGAGCGAACAGGAUUAGAAACCCCAGUAGUCCCUGCCGUAAACGUUGGGCACUAGGUGUGGGGACCAUUCCACGGUUUCCGC
rnacentral:rRNA from 1 species